GGACGACAGUGCUAGUUUAGUGUUAAUAAAUCUUAAAUAUCGUCGAAGAUAAGUGCUAUUUUGAAGAAUCUCAACCUCCACGAUGAUGCACAGUCGACUUUUUGACUCUGCACAUGAUGCAGAGAUCAUCUUUAACAUCGCGCUUGCGAGCAUCGUGUCCAGCCUCUGCUGGCACCUGGUGGAGGUUUCCCAUGAAGGGUCGAGGCACCCCACUCUCGGUCCUUCGCGGCAGUCACCAAAGCGCGGGCUAAGGUUCAAGUUGCAUUUUAGAUGCGAGCGAACACGCAUCGUUUUCGGUUAGUGGUCAUGCACCGAGUUUCGUGAAAUCUGACGUCCGCGAGGAGCGAAGCAGGUUCGAGUGGUGCCUGGAUAUCUCAUCGUGGAUCUCGACGUUGACUACUUGGAAGAUCGAGAGUCCACUUGAAGGAGACGAGGAUCGGAGGCCCUUGCAGGACACACGGUGAGUC